CCUACGGGGGGCAGCAGUGGGGAAUAUUGCACAAUGGGGGAAACCCUGAUGCAGCGACGCAGCGUGCGGGAUGACGGCCUUCGGGUUGUAAACCGCUUUCAGCAGGGAAGAAGCGCAAGUGACGGUACCUGCAGAAGAAGUACCGGCUAACUACGUGCCAGCAGCCGCGGUAAUACGUAGGGUACGAGCGUUGUCCGGAAUUAUUGGGCGUAAAGAGCUCGUAGGUGGUUGGUCACGUCUGCUGUGGAAACGCAACGCUUAACGUUGCGCGUGCAGUGGGUACGGGCUGACUAGAGUGCAGUAGGGGAGUCUGGAAUUCCUGGUGUAGCGGUGAAAUGCGCAGAUAUCAGGAGGAACACCGGUGGCGAAGGCGGGACUCUGGGCUGUAACUGACACUGAGGAGCGAAAGCAUGGGGAGCGAACAGGAUUAGAUACCCGGG
rnacentral:rRNA from 1 species